rnacentral:rRNA from 1 species
GAGGAAUAUUGGUCAAUGGGCGAGAGCCUGAACCAGCCAAGUAGCGUGCAGGAUGACGGCCCUAUGGGUUGUAAACUGCUUUUAUGUGGGGAUAAAGUGAGCUACGUGUAGUUUAUUGCAGGUACCACAUGAAUAAGGACCGGCUAAUUCCGUGCCAGCAGCCGCGGUAAUACGGAAGGUCCAGGCGUUAUCCGGAUUUAUUGGGUUUAAAGGGAGCGUAGGCCGUGGAUUAAGCGUGUUGUGAAAUGUAGACGCUCAACGUCUGAAUUGCAGCGCGAACUGGUUCACUUGAGUAUGCACAACGUAGGCGGAAUUCGUCGUGUAGCGGUGAAAUGCUUAGAUAUGACGAAGAACUCCGAUUGCGAAGGCAGCUUACGGGAGCACAACUGACGCUGAAGCUCGAAGGUGCGGGUAUCAAACAGGAUUAGAUACCCUGGUAGUCCGCACAGUAAACGAUGGAUGCCCGUUGUUAGUUCACUUAUGAAUUAGCGACCAAGCGAAAGCAUUAAGCAUCCCACCUGGGGAGUACGCCGGCAACGGUG